rnacentral:rRNA from 1 species
GCAUCUUUCAAAUGUCUGCCUUAUCAACUGUCGAUGGUAGGUUCUAUGCCUACCAUGGUUGUAACGGGUAACGGGGAAUCAGGGUUCGAUUCCGGAGAGGGAGCCUGAGAAACGGCUACCACAUCCAAGGAAGGCAGCAGGCGCGCAAAUUACCCACUCCCGGCACGGGGAGGUAGUGACGAAAAAUAACGAUACGGGACUCAUCCGAGGCCCCGUAAUCGGAAUGAGUACACUUUAAAGCCUUUAACGAGGAUCAAUUGGAGGGCAAGUCUGGUGCCAGCAGCCGCGGUAAUUCCAGCUCCAAUAGCGUAUAUUAAAGUUGUUGCGGUUAAAAAGCUCGUAGUUGAAUUUGUGUCACAUCCUGUUGGUUCACCACUCGUGGUGUUUAACUGACAUGUUGAUGGGACGUCCUACCGGUGGAUUUAGCUUUUUUUAUAUUUUCUUUUUAUUUGUUAUUUUCUUUCGGGUUAAUAUCAAUUUAAAGUAAAAUAUAUUUAAAGCGAUCCAACUAAUAUCCCGUCGCGGUGCUCUUUAUUGAGUGUCGAGGUGGGCCGGUACGUUUACUUUGAACAAAUUAGAGUGCUUAAAGCAGGCUUUUUUUGCCUGAAUACUGUGUGCAUGGAAUAAUAGAAUAGGACCUCGGUUCUAUUUUGUUGGUUUUCGGAACCCCGAGGUAAUGAUUAAUAGGGACAGAUGGGGGCAUUCGUAUUGCGACGUUAGAGGUGAAAUUCUUGGAUCGUCGCAAGACGAACAGAAGCGAAAGCAUUUGCCAAAAAUGUUUUCAUUAAUCAAGAACGAAAGUUAGAGGUUCGAAGGCGAUCAGAUACCGCCCUAGUUCUAACCAUAAACGAUGCCAGCUAGCGAUCCGCCGAAGUUCCUCCGAUGACUCGGCGGGCAGCUUCCGGGAAACCAAAGCUUUUGGGUUCCGGGGGAAGUAUGGUUGCAAAGCUGAAACUUAAAGGAAUUGACGGAAGGGCACCACCAGGAGUGGAGCCUGCGGCUUAAUUUGACUCAACACGGGAAAUCUCACCAGGCCCGGACACCGGAAGGAUUGACAGAUUGAUAGCUCUUUCUUGAUUCGGUGGGUGGUGGUGCAUGGCCGUUCUUAGUUGGUGGAGCGAUUUGUCUGGUUAAUUCCGAUAACGAACGAGACUCUGUCCUGCUA